AACGCACAUUGCGCCCGCCAGUAUUCUGGCGGGCAUGCCUGUUCGAGCGUCAUUUCAACCAUCAAGCCCCCGGCUUGUGUUGGGGACCUGCGGCUGCCGCAGGCCCUGAAAAGCAGUGGCGGGCUCGCUGUCACACCGAGCGUAGUAGCAUACAUCUCGCUCUGGGCGUGCUGCGGGUUCCGGCCGUUAAACCACCUUUUAACCCAAGGUUGACCUCGGAUCAGGUAGGAAGACCCGCUGAACUUAA
rnacentral:misc_RNA from 1 species